CUACGGGUCGCAGCAGUUACGAAACCUUUUCAAUGCUUUAACGAGCGAAAGGGGAAUCUGGAGUGCUCUUGCAAUGCAAGAGCUUUUGUUCUCUGAAAACAGGAGAACGAAUAAGGGCUGGGUAACACGGGUGCCAGCCACCGCGGUAAUACCCGGGGCCCGAGUGAUGGUCGUGAUUAUUUGGUUUAAAGCAUUCGUAGGCUGUUUAGAAAGUUUCUUGUGAAAUCCUCUAGUAAACUAGAGGGAGUGCAAGAAAUACUACUAGACUUGAGACUGGGAGAGGACAGCGGUACUUCUUGUGUAGGGGUUAAAUCCUUUAAUCCAAGAAGGACCACCUGUGGCGAAGGCGGCUGUCUGGAACAGGUCUGACGCUGAGGGAUGAAAGCUAGGGGAGCGAUCGGGAUUAGAUACCCCCGUAGUC
rnacentral:rRNA from 1 species